rnacentral:rRNA from 1 species
AGAGUUUGAUCCUGGCUACAGAAUGAACGCUGGCGGCAGGCCUAACACAUGCAAGUCGAACGAGGUAGCAAUACCUAGUGGCGGACGGGUGAGUAACACGUGGGAACGUACCCUUUGCUACGGAAUAGCCCUGGGAAACUGGGAGUAAUACCGUAUGAGCCCGAGAGGGGAAAGAUUUAUCGGCAAAGGAUCGGCCCGCGUUGGAUUAGGUAGUUGGUGGGGUAAUGGCCUACCAAGCCGACGAUCCAUAGCUGGUUUGAGAGGAUGAUCAGCCACACUGGGACUGAGACACGGCCCAGACUCCUACGGGAGGCAGCAGUGGGGAAUCUUAGACAAUGGGGGAAACCCUGAUCUAGCCAUGCCGCGUGAUCGAUGAAGGCCUUAGGGUUGUAAAGAUCUUUCAGGUGGGAAGAUAAUGACUGUACCACCAGAAGAAGCCCCGGCUAACUCCGUG